UACGGAAGGGGCAAGCGUUGUUCGGAAUCAUUGGGCGUAAAGGGCGUGUAGGUGGUUCUGUAUGUCUACCGUGAAAGCGUACGGCUCAACCGUAUUUAGUCGGUAGAAACUGCAGGACUUGGGGCUGGGAGGGGCUGGUGGAAUUCCCCGUGUAGCGGUGAAAUGCGUAGAGAUGGGGGAGAACACUCGUGGCGAAGGCGGCCAGCUAGACCAGUUCUGACACUGAGGCGCGACAGCGUGGGGAGCAAACAGG
rnacentral:rRNA from 1 species